rnacentral:rRNA from 1 species
UACGGAGGGUGCAAGCGUUGCUCGGAAUUAUUGGGCGUAAAGGGUAGGUAGGUGGUCUUAUUUGUCUGGGGUGAAAUCCCUGAGCUUAACUCAGGAAGUGCCUCAGAAACGGUAAGACUAGAGUCCUGGAGAGGGUCGUGGAAUUCCCGGUGUAGCGGUGAAAUGCGCAGAUAUCGGGAGGAACACCAAUGGCGAAGGCAGCUCGCUGGGACGGUACUGACGCUGAGACGCGAAAGCGUGGGGAGCAAACAGG